ACCGGGGAGGGUCAUUUGGAAACUGGGGAAACUUUGAGUGCAGAAGAGGAGAGUGGAAUUCCACGUGUAGCGGUGAAAUGCGUAGAGAUGUGGAGGAACACCAGUGGCGAAGGCGACUCUCUGGUCUGUAACUGACGCUGAGGAGCGAAAGCGUGGGGAGCGAACAGGAUUAGAUACCCUGGUAGUCCACGCCGUAAACGAUGAGUGCUAAGUGUUAGGGGGUUUCCGCCCCUUAGUGCUGCAGCUAACGCAUUAAGCACUCCGCCUGGGGAGUACGGUCGCAAGACUGAAACUCAAAGGAAUUGACGGGGGCCCGCACAAGCGGUGGAGCAUGUGGUUUAAUUCGAAGCAACGCGAAGAACCUUACCAGGUCUUGACAUCCUCUGACAAUCCUAGAGAUAGGACGUCCCCUUCGGGGGCAGAGUGACAGGUGGUGCAUGGUUGUCGUCAGCUCGUGUCGUGAGAUGUUGGGUUAAGUCCCGCAACGAGCGCAACCCUUGAUCUUAGUUGCCAGCAUUCAGUUGGGCACUCUAAGGUGACUGCCGGUGACAAACCGGAGGAAGGUGGGGAUGACGUCAAAUCAUCAUGCCCCUUAUGACCUGGGCUACACACGUGCUACAAUGGACAGAACAAAGGGCAGCGAAACCGCGAGGUUA
rnacentral:rRNA from 1 species